UGGGUUCGAUUCCGGAGAGGGAGCCUGAGAGACGGCUACCNUUACUAAGGUUGGCAGCAGGCGCGCAAAUUGCCCAAUANCAAACACAUCGCUGAGGCAGCGAAGAGAAAUAGCAACUUCAUGCGGCUCUGCCGUGUGAAGAUUGCCAUGGACGGUAUCUAAACCUGUCGGUGAGUAUCAAUUGGUGGACAAGUCUGGUGCCAGCACCCGCGGUAAUUCCAGCACCAAUAGCGUAUAUUAAUGCUGCUGCUGUUAAAAAGCUCGUAGUUGGAUCAAGAGUCGGACAGUGCAAGGUGGCCCCAUUUGCGUGCGUGGCUCCGGUUACAAUCGCGGUGGCGGAUCAACCCCUUGCGCCAAACUGUCCGCUCUAACAGGCCGAAACGGUUCCCUGUGAGUAGGUCCCUUCACGGGGAUCGAAAGCGCCUACGCAUCAACCAUAUGCAUACGGGACGUCGGCCAAUGUUACUGUGAACAAACCAGCGUGUCCAAAGCAGGCCUCCGCCUGAAUGUUCGAGCAUGGAAUAACAAGGGAUCGAUUCUCUCGAUUCUUUUUGUUGGUUUUUAACCCGAGAAGGAGUAAUUCAGGUCACGGUGUCUGAGUUGGGUUCCCUUAGCCUCCGGGUUAGGCCCCAAUUAGGCCGUGGCCUUACGGGAUCAAUAGGGACUGACGGGGCCGUACGUACUUCCGCGUCAGAGGUGAAAUUCUUAGAUCGCGGGAAGACGAACUUCUGCGAAAGCAUUCGGCAAGAAUGUCUUCAUUAAUCAAGAACGAGAGUGUGGGGAUCGAAGAUGAUCAGAUACCGUCGUAGUCCACUACUGUAAACAAUGCCGUCUCAGGAUUGAGAAGUGAACAUAAUGACUUUCACAGCACUAACCCCUGAAACGAGAAAUCAAGA
rnacentral:rRNA from 1 species